rnacentral:lncRNA from 1 species
CACCAUGCUUUGCUAAAUGUGUGAUGGUGAUGAUGGUGGUGUGUUGUGGUGUGGUGUGGUGGUGAGGGGGUGGUUAGGAGGUAGAAAGCGAGAGUGAUUUGGACUUGAGCAGGGUUGGAUUAAGGAUCUUUGAGUCCCUGAAUAAGGAAGAGCCUAAGAGAAGGAAUUUCUAUAGAAAAGAGUAAAUUCUGAGUCUGUAAAUGUUCCAUAAUGGAUUGAUAAAAAAUUUCAUGUGCUCCUCUGAGAAAUGCAGUUUCCUGCUGCAAUCUUAAAGAACUAUCAGAUCUACUAUUUUCAAAACUUGUGCAUUCCUAGUUGUCAACCUGUUUUUAAGAACAUAUAAUUGUUCAAAUGCUUUGGAAUAAUUUUUUAUUACUAUCUUAUAAUUAUGUGGAGUGCUGAAGUCAGGAGUGACAGCUAUUGAGGCUCCUUGAGAAGUUUUUUAUGGUGCUGUCACUCCAAUUCAAUCUUGAGCCUGAUGAAAGGAUAUUCUCCCUUUGCUACUUUGGCUGAAAAACAUCUAAAUAUAUAAUUUGUAGUGCUGCACUCAUUUAAAUCAGAUCACCUUGGAAUUCAAGUGACAUAUAGCUUUUACCAAGUUUCUCACUAGAACUUUGGAGAACAAGGUGUAAUGAGUACUGAUGCACUGUUGGCUUGAGCUCCUAAAGUGAUGUAAGCUGCAUCAAAUAGGUACUGUGGAGUUGCAUCCAUUCUGAAGGGGGAUUUUUGUCUGGGAUCAUCGCACCAGGCCAGAAGUCAUAACAUGCCACUUUUUUCCUAUUACUUUUUUGUUCAUCACAUCUAAAAGUGACCUACCUCUUCCAAUUUUUGAGUACUGGAUGCUCAGUGGUGGGUGGGUUAGGAAGGAUAUUGGCAUAAGAAACCUAUUCCCCAAUUUAUCUAAUUCCCCAUAUACUAUCUAUAGUAUAAAAAAUGUGUAUUAUAUAUAUAUAAUAUACACAUAUAAAUAUAUUUCAAUAUACUUUUUAUACCUUUUAUAUAUGUAAACUUUUUUUUUUUGGCUAUUUCUUGGGCCGCUCCCACGGCAUAUGGAGGUUCCCAGGCUAGGGGUCGAAUUGGAGCUGUAGCUGCUGGCCUAUGCCACAGCCAUAGCAACACAGGAUCUGAGCCGUGUCUUCAACCUACACCACAGCUCACAGCAACGCCAGAUCCUUAACCCACUGAGCAAGGCCAGGGAUUGAAUCCGCCACCUCAUGGUUCCUAGUUGGAUUCGUUAACAACUGUGCCACGACGGGAACUCUGAAAUCUUUGUACAUUCUUAAAGACAUGUGACCCUUGUAAGCUUUUCCCAAAAUUGGAAAGCAACUUAAAUGUCCAUAAACUAAUUAUGCUGCAUUCCUUCUGUCAAAUAUUGUGUUCUUGCAAAAAUAAUGGGAUAGAUCUCUGUUAGGGAUCUUCAGGACUUUGACAAAAUAGUGGGGUAAUUCACUGAGUGCUAUGUAUAGCGUGAUCCCAUUUGUGAUUUAAAAAGGCAGGUAACUGCCCUUUUUGUGUGUACAAAACAUCCUGAAAGGAAUUUUAAACUAUUUUUUUCCCAAGAAGAGGAAUUGGGCAAGCGUUAUUGAAGAGGAAUAAUUCUUUCCUCUUUUCUUGUUGAACUUUAAGAUAAUGUACAUGUACUGCUUGUAAAACUAAACAGGGAAAAGUGAGUCAUUUGCAAGAUUUCUUUUUCAAUAAUUGUGAUCUAUUCAAGAAGUAGGGAGUUCACAAAUUAGACUACAGUUAACAAUCAUAAAAAUUACAUGAUAAUGUAGAAGAUAUUGAUGGAAAAUAUUGCUAUUUAAACUUGUAACUUCAAAAGGUAGAUUAAGACAUCUUAAAAUUUUCCUGGAAAUGCAAUUUUUUUUUUUUGUAAAUAGUUGAAAAAUUUGACAUUGGGUUAUUUCCUCUUCAGAGUGAAUGACAUCUGUACACCUAUAUUUUAUAAAUGCAUGAUGGUUUAUGUAGCCUUCUGUAGUGGGUUCAAUGUUGGAUCCUCAAAGGAUAGAUCUAAGUCCUAAUCCCCAGAACCGGUGAAUAUCCUCUUAUUUGGAAGUACCCUUUGUACAGGUAACUAGUCUUUGUAUAGGUAACUAAAGGUUCUUGGGAUGGUAUGAUCCCGCAUCAUCUAGGUGGGCCUUGAAUCCAAUGACUAGUAUCCUUAAAAGAGACAGGCAGACCAAGAUUUUAUAGAUGGAAGAGAAGAGGAGAAGGUCAUGUGAGGAUGGAAGCAGAGAUUGGGAUGAGGCAAUUCCAAGCCAAAUAAGACCUGAAGUCACCUGAAGCUGGAAAAAAGCAAAGAAUGAUUAUCUCCAGAGCCUUGACAGGCAGUGGGGGCUUCUGGACACACUGAUUUUAGACUUGGCCUCUAGAGCUGUAAAAUAAUGAAUCUGUCAUUUUAGCUAUCUCUGGUUUAUGGUAAUGGGUUACAACAGCCACAGGAAACUAAUAAACAUCUCCUAAAUAAAAAUGUGACAGGUAUAACAUGCAGAGAAAAUCUGAGAAUUUUCAGAUUUUUUUUUCAAAUUUCCUCUUAAAUUUUGAAAACAAAAACAAAAAACCCCCCACCAAGUCAUUAUAAUAUUGAUCACCAGAGAAAUGAACAUUAUUCCAUGUGUUUCUCCAAGGCUACUGAAUUCUGGAAGAAUCCUUAGGGACCAUCUGGCCCACUAGCCAUAUGCAGAAGACCCCAGAAGGUCAGGAAGGAGUUAUGAGUCUUGGGAUUGGGCUGGGUCAGGGCAGAAGUGAGUAGUAAAUAAAAGCAAAGUGAAGUGUCUAGCCUACCCAAAGGCACAGCAUAUCAAACAAUUAAAAACCCUAAGGAGGCAAAAGAAAUAGAACCUCUUGGCCCCUGUGUGCCCAUUAAAACUCAAGGGGAAUCAACUGCCAAAAUGAAGAAGAUGAAAAUGACAACUGGAAGACAGUAGGCUGUCCUGCCACAACCUAACUACCAGCUGACCUGUGAUAAUAAUCCCUCCUAUUCCAGGGUUAUUCUGUCUGCUCUUCUCUUUAUCUCUGCUAAGCAAAAUGGAAAGAAACUGAGAUGUAGUGACUGGUGUGUGUCCGACACCAUGCCAAGUUCUUUUAGAUACGUAAUCUCAUUUAGUUCUCACAACGGCCCCAUGAGGUUAGUUGCCAAAGGUCCCUCAACUAGUAAUGUAAGUUCCGCUGGUUGUGGAAACUCAUGCUGUUUCCAAGACAGAAUACUGCUUUCAGACCAGGGUAUGACCAGCCAUGAGACUUUGAGAAAAUACAAUAUGUUCCUUUUCCAAAGAUAGGUCAGCUAUUUUUAAUAAUCAUUAAUAUUAAUGUGCUCGAAUUAGAAAAGUGUAAUUUUUUUGCAGUGAUACAAUUACCUUCACUAUUUUUUUUUUUUGUUACAUAUCAUGUAGGUUUUUCUUAUUUUGGCUUUAUUAGAAUUUCCUUUCCCUUAAUUUUUUUCCCCUAAUUCUGCAACUGCUGAAAUUAACAGAUUGCUUUUGGGGUGUAACCUGAUUUCCUCUGUAAAUCAAGCUAUUAUUUUGCAUAUCUGCUUUUUCAUUAAGCAGCUGAAACUUUAAAAAUUCUGUCUUUGGAUUUUACACAUUCUUAAAGAGCUAAGGUUGGCUCUUCUAAAAGAUAGUAAUUUGUGUGUGUGUUGAUGACACAUGGUGAAAAUGCACUUUUAAAUAGUAUAUUUUGGGAGGGUUUCUUUUGCCUGUAGUCAUUCUGUCAAAUGGCAUGGGAAUUUUCUAGCUAUUGUCCUUAUUUAGUGAACCAAUAGAUACUUAUUCAUGGCCUAUUAUAUGCUCAGCAUGUUACUUGUAGGCCAUUUUAGAUGUUUUAAAAGAAAUAAAGAAGAAAUAUAAAAUAUGACUCCAGUCUUUAGAUGCUUGCAGCAUAGCCAUGGAAAUGAGACUGAAAAAGAAUCAAAGAUGUGGAUGCCUAAUUGAGCAUUAGGAACUCCCCAAAUUAAGCAGCUCAGUGUGAACUGAAGUACUUGGAAAUUUCAUGGGGAUUGUGGAAUUUAAGUCAAACCUGUAAAAUGGGUAGGAUGAAUUGGUAGGAGAUAAAUACGUUGUUUAUUUUUGUGGAAAAAAAGAAUUAAAAAGGUAAAUGUGGAAAUUUGGGGAAUAGUGAAUGAAUUAACCUCACAAAAGAGAAAUAUGGAAAAUAAGAAAUAGGGGAGGAAGAAACUAGAUAGGUUAGCCAAAUGGGAAAACAAUACAUGCUUUAAAAGCCAGUCUAGGAAAUUUAGAUUGGAAAGCAGUAGAUUGUAAUUCUUCUUGUGCUGGAAAAAGUGAAAAAAAAAAUGAAUCUUCUUGUACUGGAAAAAGUAAAAGGAAUUAUAAAGGAAAUUUGGCAUCCAAACAUGUGAGAAUUGGUUUAGAGUAGAAGCAGUGUCAUUGUUAGAAUAUGGUUAAGUUUAGUAGCUAAAAUAUUGCUGUGCUAAUCUGGUUGUGGUAUAUGGAGGAUUUGGACUAGGGUGUUGGUAGUGGAGAUGAUGGGAUAAAAGAUUCUUCCAGGAGGCAUUGAAGGAAGAAACAUUGGGCCUUGUUUAGAGGUUAGAGGAUGGAAAUACAUGAAGGCACCUUGCAAGGACUUAGGAUUGAAUAGGGAAGGAAAUGCAUCUUAGUGGCUGGAUAAUAGAUGUUACAGCUGAAGUAGUGAGUGAAUAUCAGCCCAGUCUUUGUACAUUAAGAAAACCAGACAGAUGAGCUUACAGAACACUCCACACUUAAGAAUGUCAUGGAAAAUAGAGAAGUGGCAUCAAAGGGAUAGGAGAAGCCUAUAACUGUAUGUACCAAAGAUGCCAAAGGAGGAUAGAAAUUGAUGAGUGGGGUGUGCUGUAACAUCAAACAUUGUAAGACUUUAAAGAAUAUAUCUGCAGAAAGGCCAAGGUCAUAAAUUUAGCGGGAAGAGAUCACUGGUAAUCUUCAAGGAAAUAGUUUCUAUGGAGUGGUAUGCACUGAGGUCGAUGGUAAAGGAAACAAGGAGUUAAAAUAAGAGAGGAAAGAUGUGGAUCCAGUAUUUGAAUAGCCUAGUAGCAAAACCAGAGAGAGGGCAUUAGUGAAUAAGAGAAGGAUAAAAGAAGGAUGUUGUGACAGCUAGCAUUCAAGAUGGUACCCAGUGAUCUUUUUUAUUGGCUAUCCUUGUAUAUUUCUUUUUCACAUGAAAUAAUGCUAAGUUGUAUCACCAGUUGUGUAUUUGCAAAAAUAAUGGCAUCUGACUUCUGAGGCUGGGUCAUAAAAGAUGUUGUGGCUUUGCCUCUUCUCUGAUAGAUGGCUCAUGAUGGAGAAAGCCUGUCAUCAUGUCACGAUGGUAUGGAAACAGCUCAUGGAGAGGGACAUGGAAGCUCCUUCCAAAAACUGGCACCAGGUUAGUGAGAUUUUUUUUAGAAAUACAUCCUCCAGGUCCAAUCAAGCCUCAGAUAUCUUCAGACA